UCUUUCUUUGCUGGCGACCGGCGCACGGGUGAGUAACACGUAUCCAACCUGCCCUUUACUCGGGGAUAGCCUUUCGAAAGAAAGAUUAAUACCCGAUAGCAUAAUGAUUCCGCAUGGUUUCAUUAUUAAAGGAUUCCGGUAAAGGAUGGGGAUGCGUUCCAUUAGGUUGUUGGUGAGGUAACGGCCCACCAAGCCUUCGAUGGAUCGGGGUUCUGAGAGGAAGGUCCCCCACAUUGGAACUGAGACACGGUCCAA
rnacentral:rRNA from 1 species